ACCAGGUCUUGACAUCCUUUGACCACUCUAGAGAUAGAGGCUUCCCCUUCGGGGGGCAAAGUGACAGGUGGUGCAUGGUUGUCGUCAGCUCGUGUCGUGAGAUGUUGGGUUAAGUCCCGCAACGAGCGCAACCCUUAUUGUUAGUUGCCAUCAUUUAGUUGGGCACUCUAGCGAGACUGCCGGUGACAAACCGGAGGAAGGUGGGGAUGACGUCAAAUCAUCAUGCCCCUUAUGACCUGGGCUACACACGUGCUACAAUGGGAAGUACAACGAGUUGCGAAGUCGCGAGGCUAAGCUAAUCUCUUAAAGCUUCUCUCAGUUCGGAUUGUAGGCUGCAACUCGCCUACAUGAAGCCGGAAUCGCUAGUAAUCGCGGAUCAGCACGCCGCGGUGAAUACGUUCCCGGGCCUUGUACACACCGCCCGUCACACCACGAGAGUUUGUAACACCCGAAGUCGGUGAGGUAACCUUUUGGAGCCAGCCGCCUAAGGUGGGAUAGAUGAUUGGGGUGAAGUCGUAACAAGGUAGCCGUAAAGCC
rnacentral:rRNA from 1 species